rnacentral:rRNA from 1 species
AACGAACGCUUCCCCCCCGUCUAACACAUGCAAGUCGAACGAGACCUUCGGGUCUAGUGGCGCACGGGUGCGUAACGCGUGGGAACCUGCCCUUAGGUUCGGAAUAACUCCCCGAAAGGGGUGCUAAUACCGGAUAAUGUCUUCGGACCAAAGAUUUAUCGCCUUUGGAUGGGCCCGCGUUGGAUUAGCUAGUUGGUAGGGUAAAAGCCUACCAAGGCGACGAUCCAUAGCUGGUCUGAGAGGAUGAUCAGCCACACUGGGACUGAGACACGGCCCAGACUCCUACGGGAGGCAGCAGUGGGGAAUCUUGGACAAUGGGAGAAAGGCUGAGCCAGCAAUGCCGGGUGAGUGAUGAAGGCCUUAGGGUUGUAAAGCUCUUUUAACCGGGAUGAUAAUGACAGUACCGGGAGAAUAAGGUCCGGCUAACUCCGUG